AACGAACGCUGGCGGCAGGCUUAACACAUGCAAGUCGAGCGCCCCGCAAGGGGAGCGGCAGACGGGUGAGUGACGCGUGGGAAUCUACCCAUCUCUACGGAAUAACGCAUGGAAACGUGUGCUAAUACCGUAUACGUCCUUCGGGAGAAAGAUUUAUCGGAGAUGGAUGAGCCCGCGUUGGAUUAGCUAGUUGGUGGGGUAAAGGCCUACCAAGGCGACGAUCCAUAGCUGGUCUGAGAGGAUGAUCAGCCACACUGGGACUGAGACACGGCCCAGACUCCUACGGGAGGCAGCAGUGGGGAAUAUUGGACAAUGGGCGCAAGCUUGAUCCAGCCAUGCCGCGUGAGUGAUGAAGGCCCUAGGGUUGUAAAGCUCUUUCACCGGUGAAGAUAAUGACGGUAACCGGAGAAGAAGCCCCGGCUAACUUCGUGCCAGCAGCCGCAGUAAUAC
rnacentral:rRNA from 1 species